rnacentral:lncRNA from 1 species
GUCAUUAGGCAUCAGGGAAACGCAAAUCAAGACCACAAUGAGACACCACUUCACACCCAUUAGAAGGGCUAUAACUUAAAAAAACAAAAAAGAAAAAUAACACGUUGGCAAGGAUACGGAAAAAUUGGAACCCUCACGCCCUGCUUGCGGGAAUGUAAAGUGGUUCGGCUGCUGUGGAAAGCAGUUUGGCAGCUCGCCUAAAUGUUAAACAUAGAGUUAGCAUAUGACCCAGUAAUUCCACUGGGUGGUAUUUACCCAAAAGAACUGAAAACAACCAUUCGAACAUACCUGUUUUGACAGGUAUGACACACGCUCCAACAUGGAUGAACCGUGAAAACACUAUACUGAGUAAAAUAAGCCAGACACAAAGGACAGACGCUGUAAGAUGCCACUUACUUGAAAUAUGUAGUGAGGAGUCGGGCUCCGGGUUAAACGUCUUUGUGCGACUUUUUGGCCGCCACAGGCCAUUACAAACGCUUUCCCUGGUGGCCAUGCGGGGAGGGGUGGGGAAGCUCCCUUCCCCCAGCAGCCCGGCCCGGCGGCGGGCACUGCGGGCUCUGAGGGAGCUGCAGGCGAGGACUCUGCCCCUGGCCGGCCUUCUCCUCGCCCAUUUACAUUCCUAGCCGGGUGCCUCCAUUCCUAGGUCGCUAUCUGCGACCUCAGGCAGGGCUCUUCUCCAGGCGCCUCUGUGAGGCCUCUUUAGGUGCGCCACUCAUGGGGGAAGAUGGAACGGGGCGUCGGUGCCUUCUCGCUUCUGUCACCGCAGACUUCCUAUAAAUGUGGUCAUACUCUACGCUUCCUUUGUGUAAGGCUCCUUUCACUCAGGGCAAUGUUUCUGAGGUUCACCUUUACUGUGGGCAGCGGCAGCUCGUUCCUUCCCGUUGGGGAGAACGUGAACACAGAGCAGUCCCCUCCUAGGACACGUGGGGAAAUCACAGGGGUGAGCAUUGGAUGAGCCUUGUCCUGGGGAAACCACCUUUGUGAUCACGGCAUCUCAUCUGCCAGUCUGCCAGGAAAGCCGCUGUCUCAAGAAUAUCAAGGAGGGCAGGCUUCCCAGACCUCAACUCCUCACUCCCGGCGCACGAACCUGCCUCAAACAGGAAGACGAGACAAGAGACAACGAUGAAGGACGCCCACCUGCCAUCCUCCUAUCCCCCCACCCCCCACCCCCGCCUCACUGCAAGCAGCCUCUCAAGGCCAAACGCAGGCUGGUGGAAAAGCACCGAGCUGCACAAGCUACGUGUUCCCCCUCACCUACCCAAAACCCCAAAUAAAAACCCCUACCCAUUCCUUGUCGGGGAGCCAGCAAUUUCUGAGGCAUGAGCCCUUGCUUUGCUCCCUGUGCCUGGCAUAGUAAAGACUUUCCUCUUCCACUCAAGACCGUUCUCGUUAUUUGAAUUGGCAUCGGGUUCAGGGACUGAACUUUCGGUUAUACUUCCACGCUUCUUUCCUAGCUUCCACCAGCUGCUGGCCACCCUGGGCAAUCCUUGGCUUGCAGGCGCAUCAGUCCCGUCUCUGUCUCCAUCUUCACACGGCCUUCUCCCGUGUUGCUGUGUGUCUCUGUAUCUCUGUUUUCUCUCCUACUUCAGUCCCGCUGGCAGGGUUUCUGUGGAAACGGUUGGUUAGAUCUGCAAGUCACACUCCUAAUCUCUCCGGCAAUUCAUUCCUCCAUUUACCUCUUUCCUCUUGCAUUUUCCUAUAAGCAGGAAAGAGAAACCAGGCUGCACCUUCCACAUUUUGCUAGGCAAUCUCCUCACCAAAAUAUCCAAGUUCACCCCUUGUAAGUUCUACUUUCUACCUGACAACAGAACACAAUUCUGCCAAGUUUCCGUCACUUUAUAACAAGCACUGCUUUUCUGCCAGUGUCCAAUAACGUGUUCAUCAUUUCCUCGAAAGCCUCCCCAGCAGCACCUUCAGCGUUCGUAAACCAGGCCCCACACCAACAUUCUGUGCAGAUAAUAUACAUGUUCCUUAAGGGAACAGACGCUUUCUUACAGCCCUCCUGACUCUUUCAGAAGCUCUCACAGAAUCGCCUUGAAUGUCUCUGUUUCUAUCAACAGACUCUUCAAGGUGUGAAAAUUAAUAAAGGGAAACCUUACACAAAAUGGAGUGGGGAGGCCAGAAGGGGGAGCCCUCAGCACUACCGCUCUGCGUCAAUUCCAGGAAAGAUCGUCCGUCACAGGCCCCGGAAGAGACGUCCACUGCCUUCCAGACAAGAAAGACCACUCCAGCAACCCAGCCAACGAGAAACAGUCACCACCCUGAACAAGACCUUGUUUUCCACCAAUGGGCUUCUGUUCAAAACAACCCUCCCAACUUCCUCCUUUUUCUCUAUAAAAUAAAGUCCCUCUCCUUUGUGUGCUAGACUUGACUGUGGCUUUUGCUAUAGUGUGCUUGUCCCAAAUUGCAAUUCCUUUCCUAUUCCCAAAUAAACUGAUUUUGCUGGUAAAAUAA